UACGGGGGGGGCAAGCGUUGUUCGGAUUCAUUGGGCGUAAAGGGUGCGUAGGCGGCGCGGUAAGUCGGGUGUGAAAUCUCGGGGCUUAACUCCGAAACUGCAUUCGAUACUGCCGUGCUUGAGGACUGGAGAGGAGACUGGAAUUUACGGUGUAGCGGUGAAAUGCGUAGAUAUCGUAAGGAAGACCAGUGGCGAAGGCGGGUCUCUGGACAGUUCCUGACGCUGAGGCACGAAGGUCAGGGGAGCAAACGGG
rnacentral:rRNA from 1 species